UAUAAUUCAUUAUGGCGUCCGUCUCUUAAAUCCCUUUUUACCUCCAGCCAAACCAACAACAGCACAGACGUUUUACGACCAUUCCAACGCUCCAUGGUUCAAAAACCGUUUCACUGAAUCCGAAUCCGAGAAAUACUCCGUGAAUCAGUCAGUACCUGCUUACCUAAAGCGGGCAAGGUUGAUACCCUGAGGACUUUGGAGACGGUGGUGCUUUCCCUGAGAUUCGUGUUGUUCAGUACCGUUAAAGAUCAGCAGCGAGAGUGGAAGAUCCCUCCAUGUAUUUUAAACUGGAAAAAUCCGAAAGGUUACGACUAUCUAUCCCUCUCGAUAAACGUUAAGAUUAAUGAUAACUUUGCAGAGGCUCUGUAUGUAGCUGAGUAGAAGGAUAGAGAGAGGAUUUUUCGAUGUCCGCGGUCAAAGGUGCAAUAGGAGAAGGAAAGAAAAGAGUAGGAGUUGAGAGCACGAUCUGAAAACGUAGACCAAGUUGUUAAUUAUGACCGCGAGAGAGAGAGAAAGGGAAGGGUCAAAGGAACGGAUGGAUGCAGCUAUGGGGAAGAAAAGCUAAGAUGAGUCGAGACAAAUACUUUUCAACCAAGAAAAGUCGCUUAUAUAUCUUGACUCAAGAGUCGCUCUUGGAAUGGCGUCUACUGGAGGAAAAGGCGGGGGAGGUUAUGUAUGAUCAAAUACUUUUCAACCAAGAGAAGGGAAGGGGUUUUCGCCUUCACGGUGGCGGUGGUGGCAGCUCUUCGCGGGAUGACUAUGGUUAUAUAUAUAUAUAUAUAUAUAUAUAUAUAUACUACUACCAAUGCACAACCACUUUUGUUACACUUCCGAGAGGUCUUGACCGGUAUGUGUCUCCCAUUAUGAAGGCAAGGAUAGAUUACUCUUGACAGCUGACUGGGUUUAUGAAUGCGUUAGACAGAUAACUUUCAUCCAAAGGAAUUGACUACACAAGACCGAGAUGCAAGGUUUGGCUUGACAAGUCAGUUUCAUACAUAGUCUGUGCCAAUGGCCUCAAGGGACAAUAGCUGCCGUAAACGUGAGGUGGACAACAGACUCGUUGAAACUGGAAGGGAACAGGUUUUUCCGUGGUAGUAAGAAGGCAAAACGUUUGAGAGAUGGUGAAGAAAGUGAUGCGUUUCCAACCAAGUGACUUUGCUCGUCAGGAGAUGGCAUUGGUUGUGGAAAUGACGUAGUAGCAAGUGGUCGUGAAGUUCCUGAUGUGACUGAUACUAUUGAGGAUCUGUUUUAGCAAACAAGUAAAGUGGAUAAACAGGGUACUCGAUGCAUGUAAUCCGCCAGGAGAUGUAACUACAGGCACUUAUGGAAACUUUAGUGAGACGCAGACAGAAUCGCAGGUUAUAUAACUCUUACUCUGAAAAUAAUACCUUUGGAGUUUUCCAUAGUUAAAUCUUUUCAAGUCUGGAUAAUAGUCAGGUUUCUAAAUCUCAGUUCCGAAUUAAAAAAAACAAAAAACAAAAAACAAAAAAAGGAGCUGAGAGUGGGUAACUCUCAUGUUCCAAUUUAUAUCUUAAUCCUGCUAGUAGUUUAACCAUGUUCUUGUAAAAUGUAUCUUCCUUUCAACAUUGAGUUUGUUACUCUACGAAGGUAGUCUCUGUGUGGUGGGGGAACUUGUUGCAUCUUAUACCUGCGUAUACAGCCUAAAAACUUGUGAUUCUACCACUUGACAAAGAAAACUUGCGGGUUGUUGGCUACGAGGAAAAUCUUUCAGGAAGGCAGAUGCUAAUCGUUAGAGUCAGAACACGCAGCAGCUUAACAUAAAAAAGGAGCUGAGAGUGAGGUAUGUGCAGGGCCGGUUGACAAAGAGGGACAAACGGUACGACCGGUUCCCCGUAUAUUAAUAGUUAAGGGGUCCAAUUUUCUUAUAAAUU